ACUGCCAUAGUUCAGUGAUAGAGCAUCUGCUUUGCUUGCAGAAGGUCAUAAGUUCAAAUCCUGGCACCCUGCAGUA